rnacentral:lncRNA from 1 species
GCUUGCCACGCUCUAUCCCCAAUCUCGCUACCCCUAUCGUCUUCGCUAACCCUAGGCACCGUGUCCCUCCGGUUGUGGCCCCUGUCCUCCUAACCCUAGGUUUCGCGCCCCCAUCUCGCCUGUCGGCUGCCUGGUUCCCGCUGCGCCGCUUCGUCUUCUCUCCGUCGCGCCGCUUCGUCUUCUCUCCGCCGAGCAUUUUUGGUUUUUUUCCAGGAUCAGGUCCGUAAUUUAUCCUGAGCAUGUCUUAUUACUCAGUAAUCGACCACUGGAAUAUGUAACUUCAUGGUGUGCGUGCUCAUGCUUGUAAGUGCCAUGCUUCUAAUUUAGUUCCCUAAAAUUGCAUUGUAUUGCCUUGUGGUCACUACUCUGUUUCGUUGGUAUGGAUUAUUGCUUUCCUCUUCUCCAAGAAGAAUGAUUUGGUCCUUAUUAAUUGGCAUUAUUAUAUUUUCUAGUUUUUUUGCUGCAAUCUGCAAAGAAUAUUGGUUUGAGUUAGCAUUUGAUAUAGUAGAUUUGGUUCCUGAUUGGGUUUCAAUCUUUUAAUAGUUUUUCUUGUGGAUGAUCUGUGAAAAUAUACUAGGGCUUAGUGACUCACUGUCUAUUGACUGAUUUUAUUUUUGUGUCAAAUUUGGUGUAAGACCAUUUAAUAUCCUUCCUAUUGUCUUUGCCAUUAUGCUGAAUUUUCUAGAAUAAAGAGUCCACACCAGUACCACCACAUUUCAGUUUUAGUGGUUCAUAGGGUAAAACUAUACUCUGCAGAUCCUUAGAAGGUCGGAUGAAGCGUUCUGUUUUUGUCUGAUGGUUCGUCAAAACCAAAAUGUUUAUUAGCUCAUCCUUCUCUUACUUGCAGCAUUGGGAAUUUUUUCUUUGCUGGAGCUCAGAUAUUCUUUCAGUCUCUAGAUGCUGCAAUUUUCUUGUUUUCACGUGUCUCACAAAUUCCUACAGAAAGCCCGGUGCUACCAGUUAUAUCCACAAAUGAUAGGCUUACCUUGGUGCUUCUCUUUUUUUAUGGUAAAUGUAGAGAGAUAAGGUUAAAGAUACUGUUGGUAAUGGCCUGUGUGAAUGGAUGAUGGACACAAGGUUUCUACACAAAAAAUUCUAAAAUUUAUAGUAUUUUAUAAAGUUAAAUUAGUUGGUUGUCUUUUAUUUUCAAGAUAAUAACCAAACAUAUUGAUCAUGUCAAUAUUUGCUUUCAAUGAAUUGUAAGUAUUGUCAACACUUCCUCGUUACUUUCUAAUAACCAGACUCAAGGCCUUUUCACCCUUUUAUGUGGUUUGAUUUAACAGGUCUUUCCAUCUACAAAUCAAACUGUCGUAGAUCAGUUGAACAAUGUUGACUCCAUUAUCUAUGCCAUGGGUUCACUGUUUACUUUGAUAUGCCCCUCUCUGGUAAGCACUGUGUGCCUCUCUGCUAAACCCACUCGUUUUUUUGAUUGAAAUAGUUUAUACCUAAAAUAAUUUCCAAAAAUAAUUAUCUACCAUUUUGAACAGUCUGCCUCCACUCUUUUCUUUUCUUUUUGCUCUUUUUUUAUUUAGUUUUUUUCUCUGUUUGAGCAGUGAGUACAUAACUCAAUGCCUUACCUUUGAACUUCCUAUUUAAGGUCUCUCAAGAGUAGAACUAUUGGAAUGCCCCUCCUCUUGGGAGUAAUAUGUAGUGUCAGUUUCCUUAUUGCUUGUGUUUCAUUUUCAGGUUUUAUGUGGAAUUGGGGAAAGUAUUUCUUCACGAUCAUGUCCCAAGGU